rnacentral:rRNA from 1 species
UAGCUUGCUAGUAGGCGUCGAGCGGCGGACGGGUGAGUAACACUUAGGAAUCUACCUAGUAGUGGGGGAUAGCAUGGGGAAACCCAUAUUAAUACCGCAUACGACCUACGGGAGAAAGGGGGCAUCUUGAUGCUCUCGCUAUUAGAUGAGCCUAAGUCGGAUUAGCUAGAUGGUGGGGUAAAGGCCUACCAUGGCGACGAUCUGUAGCUGGUCUGAGAGGAUGAUCAGCCACACCGGAACUGAGACACGGUCCGGACUCCUACGGGAGGCAGCAGUGGGGAAUAUUGGACAAUGGGGGCAACCCUGAUCCAGCCAUGCCGCGUGUGUGAAGAAGGCCUUUUGGUUGUAAAGCACUUUAAGCAGUGAAGAAGACUCCGUGGUUAAUACCCACGGACGAUGACAUUAGCUGCAGAAUAAGCACCGGCUAACUCUGUGCCAGCAGCCGCGGUAAUACAGAGGGUGCAAGCGUUAAUCGGAAUUACUGGGCGUAAAGCGAGCGUAGGUGGCUUGAUAAGUCAGAUGUGAAAUCCCCGGGCUUAACCUGGGAACUGCAUCUGAUACUGUUAAGCUAGAGUAGGUGAGAGGAAGGUAGAAUUCCAGGUGUAGCGGUGAAAUGCGUAGAGAUCUGGAGGAAUACCGAUGGCGAAGGCAGCCUUCUGGCAUCAUACUGACACUGAGGUUCGAAAGCGUGGGUAGCAAACAGGAUUAGAUACCCUGGUAGUCCACGCCGUAAACGAUGUCUACUAGUCGUUGGGUCCCUUGAGGACUUAGUGACGCAGCUAACGCAAUAAGUAGACCGCCUGGGGAGUACGGCCGCA